UGCUUACCAUGCAGUCGACGGAACGAUGGAGAAGUUUACUUCUUCAGGCGUCGAGUGGCGGACGGGUGAGUAAUGCAUAGGAAUCUGCCCUAUAGUUUGGGAUAACUACUCGAAAGAGUAGCUAAUACCGGAUGUGGACUACGGUUUAAAGCAGGGGACCUUCGGGCCUUGCGCUAUAGGAUGAGCCUAUGUGGGAUUAGCUAGUUGGUGAGGUAAAGGCUCACCAAGGCGACGAUCUCUAGCUGGUCUGAGAGGAUGAUCAGCCACACUGGGACUGAGACACGGCCCAGACUCCUACGGGAGGCAGCAGUGGGGAAUAUUGGACAAUGGGCGGAAGCCUGAUCCAGCAAUACCGCGUGUGUGAAGAAGGCCUUCGGGUUGUAAAGCACUUUUGUCAGGGAGAAUGGCAGUUGAGGUUAAUACCCUUAGCUGUUGAUGUUACCUGAAGAAUAAGCACCGGCUAACUCCGUGCCAGCAGCCGCGGUAAUACGGGGGGUGCAAGCGUUAAUCGGAAUUACUGGGCGUAAAGGGCGCGUAGGCGGUUACUUAAGUUAGAUGUGAAAGCCCCGGGCUUAACCUGAGAAUUGCAUUUAAUACUGGGUAACUAGAGUGUGGUAGAGAGUAGCGGAAUUUCUGGUGUAGCGGUGAAAUGCGUAGAUAUCAGAAAGGAACACCAAUGGCGAAAGGCAGCUGCUUGGGCCAACACUGACGCUGAGGCGCGAAAGCAUGGGGAGCAACAGGAUUAGAUACCCUGGUAGUCCACGCUGUAAACGAUGACACUUAUUGAUGGGGAGGGUUACCUUUCGUUGAUGUAGCUAACGUGGUUAAGUUGUCCG
rnacentral:rRNA from 1 species